AUUAGUUAGCACCACACCAGCCAGCACAGCAGUUAGCGCCAACACCAGCCAGUACAGCAGCACCCAUUCCAGCUAAAUUAAACAACAAAAGAAAGACUAAACACACAAAUGGAAUUCAAAACAUGAUAAAUCAAUAAAAGGGCAGAGGCUCGCCCGACACUGAUUAGUCAGUGUUAGGUAGUUAAUUAAUUGAAGAGGUUGGUUGGUUAUCCGAACGUCAUUAGGUUUUUGUAGUUUCUUAAUGUAGGUUUUUGUAGUUUUUUUAAAAAACUAUUUUAAGUUAAAAAUUUAUUAACUGGCGCCCGAAUAGGGACCAGCGCGAGUAUCGUUUAAUUCGUCGCGAGUGAUACAACAUCGUGAGUGUUAUCCGAAAAUUUCAACUUUACCGCUGUAAAAGUAGCGACCGCCACUAUCACAGCAGCCGUGGAGAAGAGCGCCCCUAGUCACCAACCAGCAUAGGAGAAACGGGAAGAUCGCCGCUUCACCGGGACAGUUGAAGCUCGUGUCUGGUCGUCUCAAGGAGUCCCGACGAUACAGGACGGGACCCGAUUUCAAGACGAAGUGCUCUCUGGUACAGGAUAGAGCAUUCGUAUUAUGGUUAAGUUUCUAUUAAUAAUAUGUUCCAUGUUGUUGGUGCAAGGAGAGAUACAAAUUCAUAACUUGAAUAAAAAUCCACUGGCAAUAAUUCCAUUGGGAAAAGCAAAACUUACAUUAGGAUAUGUGAGAAUAAUACAACCAAUAGAUCUUACGCAAAUUCAUGAUAUAAUCAUCAAAUUUGAUGAAUUGGUAAGAACAAAUGUUUAUAAUAAUAACCUUUAUAGACUGUUACAAAAUAGAAACCAUUUGCUAUACCAAACAUAUUUAAAAAUUGCACCACACAAUAAUUCACAAUCUCGUAUAAAACGAUGGGAUACUAUUGGAAAAAUCUUGAAAUGGGUUGCUGGAACUCCCGACGCUGAGGAUUUGAGUAUAAUUAACAACACAAUGAACGCAUUAAUCGACAACAACAAUCAACAAACCUUCAUCAACGAAGCUAUAAACUCCCGAAUCAAACAUUUGAAUCAAGUCACCAACGAAUUACUAGAACUGGACUUUAAAUCUCAAAAACAACAUGUUAUUGAAAUCAACCUUCUAACAAUCUUGCUUAACCUGAAUGCAGCUCAACAUCAAAUUGAAAUACUUGAAGAUGCCUUAUUACUCGCAAAAAAUGGCAUUCCUAGCAGUCAAAUCUUAUCUAUGAAAGAUUAUUCAAAAAUAAAAUACUUCCUACAGCAACAGAACAUCCCUGUUACGUCAUUUGAAGAGAUGUUGACUAAAACAAGUACACAAAUUGCCAUGAACAAUACGCACGUGAUGUAUAUGCUAAAAAUUCCACAACUUUCAAACGAAACUUACAACUACGAAUUCAUUAGUCCUCUGAUUCAAAACCAAACAAAAAUACAUAUUGAAUCAAGCUACAUUAUCACUAAUGAAUCGCAUACUUUCGAAACAUCUGCACCAUGUAAAGAAGAUUCCGAAUAUUUUUUAUGUGAAUCCAAGUUGAUAAAACCUACAAGCCCAUGCAUCAGAAAUUUGAUUCUGUCACGACACGCAAAUUGUACAUUUGAAAAAGUGUAUUCAUCUGGAGUAAUUAAUAGAAUCAAUGAUGCAACAUUACUUCUGAAUAAUGUGAAUAUAUCGCUAUACACCAACUGCAGUAAUUCAAGUAAACUAUUGGAAGGAUCGUUCCUAAUUCAUUUCGAACAAUGUGAAUUGUACCUCGACAACAUUCGCUAUACAAACAUCUUCAUGGAGACCCCGAAAACAUCAUUCAGACCUACAACAGGAAUAUUAGCAUACAAAGAAAAUAUCAUCGAUGUUCCGCCACCAGAAUAUUUGGCAAAUUUGACAUUGGAACAUAGAAGAAUACUCAAACAUGUGUACUUGCAAAAUCAUUCUUUCAAAUGGAAACUGAACAUAUUUGGAUCAAUUACUAUCAUAACAUUUACAUUAAUCAUCGCAGCAAUUAUAGUCUACGUACUCGUACUAAAAAGACAAGCUAAAAAAACAGAAAUCGAAAUUAAUUUACAUGAGCAAGAAAAACCAUCGGCACCAGAAGGUAUCCAAAUCAAAUCACCGUAUCCUGAUGUUUCCGAUGAAAGACUUCAACAAAUUAACAAUUACUUGAGAAUGCCAACAGCAGAUCGAUCCAUACGACUUUGAGGACAAAGUCAUUUAAAGGGGGAGGAGUUAGCACCACACCAGCCAGCACAGCAGUUAGCGCCAACACCAGCCAGUACAGCAGCACCCAUUCCAGCUAAAUUAAACAACAAAAGAAAGACUAAACACACAAAUGGAAUUCAAAACAUGAUAAAUCAAUAAAAGGGCAGAGGCUCGCCCGACACUGAUUAGUCAGUGUUAGGUAGUUAAUUAAUUGAAGAGGUUGGUUGGUUAUCCGAACGUCAUUAGGUUUUUGUAGUUUCUUAAUGUAGGUUUUUGUAGUUUUUUUAAAAAACUAUUUUAAGUUAAAAAUUUAUUAACUGAUUAGAGUAGUUGACUUAUUCUGGGUUUCUGAUCGGCCUCAACAAAAUAGCGACAGCUAGAACGUGUUUAUUCUGACGCUCGAAGGAUAGCCUCCACAUGGAUAAUUUCAAGAUCAAUUCAAAAAGUGGUUAAUGAGAAGAGUUGUACCUGAUUGUGACAUUCAAAAAAAAAAACCUUCCGUUUUUUUACCCCAUCUCCGGGAAGAUUGUAACCAACCGUUUUCUGGUUACAAUAUAAACUAUGGUUUUCAGUUUGAUUUUGUUUAUUUUUUUUCAAAUAUUUCUUUGUUAUUAUUUUUAUUAUUGUUUGUAAAUGUUUAAAUACAAAAUUAAUGUUUGUUCUCCGUCUCUUUCUGCACGUUUGAGUCACAUUAACUUUGUAUUUAUUAGCCUACGUUGGUGCCAGCAUUAGUUAUUUUUUUUUUCAAAUAUUAAAGCGAUUUAUUUGUUUGUUUUUUUUUUACAUUAUAUUUUGUUAUUCCAUAGAUAUUUUUCAAAGUUAAUUAAAAUAAAGAAAAUUAAAAUUAUUUAAAGUCCAUUUAAAUUCUUAUAAGUAUAACUUGCAUACAAGUUUUUCAAAUUCAAAAUGGCACCAACCAAAAAUAUUGUAACCCUCGUCACUGCUUGGAGAAACGUCACGACCCGGUCAUCAACUGUCAACGUCACACUGGAGUCGGGGCAAGGACCACCGGAACGGAUAUGAGAUAGGGAGAAUUCGGGAGUUCUGGAAGCUAUAAAAGGACUUGGAGUACAACAUGUGGCUCUCUAGUAAAUUUUAUUGGCCCGGAGGAGCAAAGACAGCGGCAGCGUCCGUCACGCAGUAGUUAUUUGUGACCACGCGUUUCAAGUUAAGAUCUUCUAAAUCAAUAGUUAGAUCGGUUGUGAUUUCCACACGACUUUGUUAAUAAUCCAACCGGUCGAUCGAGUGGGUUUAGUGUGGACGUUAUAAAAGUGAUUUCCGCGGUCUGAAGCAAGAAAAUCGUACGUCGUACGUCGCGAGUGCGCUAUCUGGUCGGUGUGGAUUUGUGAAACCACCAAAAUGACAUUGUGUCGAGAAGCCUAGAAUAGACACAAGUGCGAGACCGUUGGAACAUUAUUGUUGAAAUUCCGACCAAUUUGUGUUAAACCCCGCUCGAUCUACACCAAGACACUCGCGAACAAUUAGUGCACAUGGUACCGCUCCCCGGGCCCGAAAAAAAGUGAAACGCCAGGCCCACCGUUACACGGGCCGAGUUGUCGCAGUAGAUCUGGACUCCCUGUCCGGAAUCGCAGAAUCAUCGCACCGGUAUCCCCCGCCGGCCGAGUUUGUAGCCAAGACCAACCCCUCCCGAUGAAGCCCGCUCCAGUGCAUCCCAUCGAAGUCGACCAACGAGCAUCGCAUCGGCCGCAACGAUUCCUAGUGUGUGUGAGAUACACUCAAUAAAAUGCGCAAGUAGAAAAUUGAACGUUCUCCUUAUGAUUAGUAAUUAAUAAAUUCCCCUAAUUGCAUGGUCCUUACAAAAUCAA